GACGAACGCUGGCGGCGUGCCUAAUACAUGCAAGUCGAACGCAGUGGGGACGGGUGAGUAACACGUGGGUAACCUCCCAUCAGAGGGGAUAACACUUGGAAACAGGUGCUAAACCGAUACUGAUGGAUGGACCCGCGGUGCAUUAGCUAGUUGGUGAGGUAACGGCUCACCAAGGCCACGAGGCAUAGCCUGCCUGAGAGGGUGAUCGGCCACACUGGGACUGAGACACGGCCCAGACUCCGACGGGAGUCAGCAGUAGGGAAUCUUCGACAAGGGACGAAAGUCUGACCGAGCAAGGCCGCGUGAGUGAAGAAGGUUUUCGGAUCGUAAAGCUCUGUUGGUAGAGAGGCGGUAUCUAACCAGAAAGCCACGGCUAACUCCGUGCCAGCAGCCGCGGUAAUAC
rnacentral:rRNA from 1 species